CACCAUCAUGUGAGUGUGAGAUUGCUCUGGAUUCUGGUUAUGUGGCCUGCAGCACCUAUAAGAACAAGCUCGUACAGUGUGCCUGCAUUCCAGCUUCUUAGACUCUACGCAAGUGGACAGAGUAUCAGUGUUUGGCCACUCUUACAGACACCGACUUCUGUCAACUCACUGCUACUGAUCAGGCACCUCACUCCAGGAAGACAGAGGGCUGCAAACCUGUCAUCGUUUCCAGUGUGGCUUUGUAUUCUUGGGGUAGCAUCAGAUUUUUCCCACAAAUAUUCAAAGAUUUAUAUGCAGUGACCGGAUGUUGUGGAGCUUUGUUAACUGUGUGGAAAACAUCUGUUUGUGAUUAUAUUUACAAUGAGGCUUUAAGGUGACAGUUUCCAUGUAAUUUCAAUCCUUUUACUAAGCAAAAACAUGUUUGCAAUUAACAUAUUUUUUUCAGUUUUGUCUUUUGGAUUUAUGGUUAACAUUCC